UUGACGUCGUCCUUUUGGCUUUGCUAUUGCUUCCCAGUUCCCACUGCUGCUGUUCAUUUUCCUCAUCCUACUCUCAUAGCUUCGCUCAGAUUGUUGCGUCACUGGCAUCAUGGUUUCCUACAGAUGGCAUAGGUGUGACGUCGUUUCCUUGGCAUCAUCAAAGGUUUUGUGCUUACACAUUGGCAAUACUUCCGUCAUCACGCCGCCGCUGGCUUUGGCUUUCUUCCUCCACAAUUGCAUAUUCUCCUCGAUUGCUGGCCUAUGGAUUCCUUCUCUGGCCAGGUAGAUUGUGACGUUUUUUCCGACAGAUGCUAGCAAGGAUUCGUGAAGAAAGGGUUUGGUCUGUAUAUGCAAUCAGCAAUUGCGUUGGUUGAUACUCCCCAAGGCUCUUGUCAUCUUCCCUCAUGCUGCCAUUAACAGCUGUUUAGUUUGCUUUACAGAUGGAUUCGGACUCCAAUUUUAAGUUCAAUUCAACUUAUUUUGAAGGCAGACUCCUACUAUCCUGAAACAAGAACCCUAAACCUCUGUGUCCACAGCUUCUGGAUUGUUCUAACUCUAGAAUUUCGUUGUAGAUAUUCUUAUUCCAAAUUUCAAUUGCAAGCUGGUAUGAUAUCUCCUUGCUGUGAUUUAUUCAAUUGGUCUAUUACUGUGAUGAUUUGUUUAGGUGCCCUGUUUUCAUCCUUUUACUUCAAUCCGGUGUUAUCUUUUCUUGCACAAAAUUCUGAAUUGAAUCUCCAGUAACUUCUGUUUGUGUACUUCUUUUAUAUUGCUGUCCUUUUGUCCAUCAUCUGAUCUUAGUCCUUUGUUUUAAUAUGUUAUAGUCACCCCUUUCUUCGUCUAAUGUUUGAACCUGUUUAUUUUCUGUAUACCAAUCACAAAUUUAUUAGUUUAUUUCAAUUAUCUAUGUAUUGAACUUUGAUGCAUUAGCUUGACAUCAUUCCUUGUAUUAGUAGUUUAAAGUGUAGCAAUUUUUUGAUUUAUAGGGACUGAAAAUUGCUGUACCUUUCUUCUGAGUAUCCCUUAGUUACAAGUUAAUCAAAAUAUAUGGGAUAUCUUGAUUGGGACUGGGAACUUCUGUACUUAUUAUUUAUAGUAUGUAUCUCCAUGUAGUUAGUGCUUGAAUGUUGAAUAAAUAUGAAUAUUCUAACCCAUGUACAAGCACGAGUUUCAUUUACGAAUCAUCCUUUUCAUAUCCAUUUUCUGGGGUAAAGCUGCACGGAGAAGCUCCAUCCUAACCAUCAAUCUGGUUUGGGUGCUCUAGGAGCUAUACCCUAAACUGGAACGCAAGCUUUAACAUCUGCUUUACAGGCUGUUUGAUCUACUACUAGAUUAAAAAAAUUCCAGCUACUGAAGGUGCUUUCCAGUUGUUUGAUAAGCUUCAAGAUCUUGCUCGAUUCCCUAUGGUUAUUUGCUUUUUCUGGUAUCUUCAUCCUUAUGCAGUGAUGAUCAAGUGGGUGAUUCAAAUGCUUGGGAAGAGAGCAUUGGGAUAUAUACUGAUUCUGAAGAUGCCAAUAUUCCAUCUGUUCUGAAUUAUGAGGGAACUGUCAUUGGGGUACUCCUCUCAUCAAGCUAUUUAAAGCAACUGAAGAUUCAUACUUCUAACUAUUGCAAACCUACUGCCUUAUUAACUGAGAAUGCGUUGAGAUAUGUUUUUUGCUUCAUCACUCUUUUGAACUAAAUACGAAUGAAGCUUCCAUAUCCAAUCAACUUAUAAGAUUAAAGAAGCUAUGAAAGGUGAAAGAACAAUCCCUACUCCAUCAGAGAGAGCCUACAGAAAAUUAGAGCACUGCAAGGGUAUGAGGCUUCAAAGGUCCACAAGUGCCUCCCGGUAUGAUGCAUAUGAUGCAUCUCUGCCAUAAUAUUAAGUGUUUGAAUUUAAACUUGAUGAUUGGUCUAUCUUGACUUGAUGGUUUGGUCUAUGUAUUGUCUUUUGAUAAGUCACCUUUGAAUUUCUGGGUUUCCUAUAGUCUGUUGAAAAAUAUUUAGAAUAGCUACCCGAGUGUAGAAGUAGAACAAGUUCUAAAACAUCUAUCUCCGUUGUGAGUGAACAUCUAUCUCACCGGCCUCCUUCAAUUGACAUUAUCUUAACAAAUGGCCUUACACAAGAAUGACAUUUGAUUUGGGAUUGCAAGAGGGUAUGUCAAUGCAUGAUUGUCGUUGGAUGGUAUCAAUUUUACAGAGCCAAACACUUUCAUCUGACAGAUCAGCUGCAGUUCUUUAAACGUUCAGUUAUCACACCCCUUAUGUUUUUGCAUCUAUUUCUAUUUGAUGCAUAUUUUAAUAUCAUUUUUGGCAUUAUUCUUA